rnacentral:rRNA from 1 species
GACGAACGCUGGCGGCGUGCUUAACACAUGCAAGUCGAACGGAAAGGCCCUGCUUUUGUGGGGUGCUCGAGUGGCGAACGGGUGAGUAACACGUGAGUAACCUGCCCUUGACUUUGGGAUAACUUCAGGAAACUGGGGCUAAUACCGGAUAGGAGCUCCUGCUGCAUGGUGAGGGUUGGAAAGUUUCGGCGGUUGGGGAUGGACUCGCGGCUUAUCAGCUUGUUGGUGGGGUAGUGGCUUACCAAGGCUUUGACGGGUAGCCGGCCUGAGAGGGUGACCGGCCACAUUGGGACUGAGAUACGGCCCAGACUCCUACGGGAGGCAGCAGUGGGGAAUAUUGCACAAUGGGCGGAAGCCUGAUGCAGCAACGCCGCGUGCGGGAUGACGGCCUUCGGGUUGUAAACCGCUUUCGCCUGUGACGAAGCGUGAGUGACGGUAAUGGGUAAAGAAGCACCAGCUAACUACGUG